GAUCCUGGCUCAGGAUGAACGCUGGCGGCGUGCUUAACACAUGCAAGUCGAACGAAGCACUUUAUUUGAUUUCCUUCGGGACUGAUUAUUUUGUGACUGAGUGGCGGACGGGUGAGUAACGCGUGGGUAACCUGCCUUGUACAGGGGGAUAACAGUUGGAAACGGCUGCUAAUACCGCAUAAGCGCACAGUAUCGCAUGAUGCAGUGUGAAAAACUCCGGUGGUAUAAGAUGGACCCGCGUUGG
rnacentral:rRNA from 1 species